ACUCAAAUGAAUUGACGGGGGCCCGCACAAGCGGUGGAGCAUGUGGCUCAAUUCGAUGCAACGCGAAGAACCUUACCCGGGUUUGACAUGUGCCUGAAAAGCGUAGAGAUACGCUCCCUCGCAAGAGCAGGUACACAGGUGCUGCAUGGCUGUCGUCAGCUCGUGUCGUGAGAUGUUGGGUUCAGUCCCGCAACGAGCGCAACCCCUGUCCUUAGUUGCCAUCAGGUUAUGCUGGGAACUCUAAGGAGACUGCCUGUGUUAAGCAGGAGGAAGGUGGGGAUGACGUCAAGUCCUCAUGGCCCUUACGUCCGGGGCUGCACACGUGCUACAAUGGCCGGUACAAAGGGAAGCAAUACCGCGAGGUGGAGCCAAUCUCAAAAAGCCGGUCUCAGUUAGGAUUGCAGUCUGUAACUCGACUGCAUGAAUGCGGAAUCGCUAGUAAUCGCGGAUCAGCACGCCGCGGUGAAUACGUUCCCGGGCCUUGCACACACCGCCCGU
rnacentral:rRNA from 1 species